rnacentral:lncRNA from 1 species
CAGACCUCCACAGUGACAUCAUCCGUCAAUAGGCGCUCACCUGCAGACACGUGCAUCCUCACAUAGACAGCCCAGACCCCGUGGAGGCAGGGGAGGAAGUUAAGGUGAGAAUGGACCUGCUGCCGCUCCACAUGGGCCUCCACAAGCUGGUGGUGAACUUCGAGAGCGACAAGCUGAAGGCUGUGAAGGGCUUCCGGAAUGUCAUCAUUGGCCCCGCCUAAGGGACCCCUGCUCCCAGCCUGCUGAGAGCCCCCACCUUGAUCCCAAUCCUUAUCCCAAGCUAGUGAGCAAAAUAUGCCCCUUCUUGGGCCCCAGACCCCAGGGCAGGGUGGGCAGCCUAUGGGGGCUCUCGGAAAUGGAAUGUGCCCCUGGCCCAUCUCAGCCUCCUGAGCCUGUGGGUCCCCACUCACCCCCUUUGCUGUGAGGAAUGCUCUGUGCCAGAAACAGUGGGAGCCCUGACCUUGGCUGACUGGGGCUGGGGUGAGAGAGGAAAGACCUACAUUCCCUCUCCUGCCCAGAUGCCCUUUGGAAAGCCAUUGACCACCCACCAUAUUGUUUGAUCUACUUCAUAGCUCCUUGGAGCAGGCAAAAAAGGGACAGCAUGCCCCUUGGCUGGAUCAGGGAAUCCAGCUCCCUAGACUGCAUCCCGUACCUCUUCCCAUGACUGCACCCAGCUCCAGGGGCCCUUGGGACAGCCAGAGCUGGGUGGGGACAGUGAUAGGCCCAAGGUCCCCUCCACAUCCCAGCAGCCCAAGCUUAAUAGCCCUCCCCCUCAACCUCACCAUUGUGAAGCACCUACUAUGUGCUGGGUGCCUCCCACACUUGCUGGGGCUCACGGGGCCUCCAACCCAUUUAAUCACCAUGGGAAACUGUUGUGGGCGCUGCUUCCAGGAUAAGGAGACUGAGGCUUAGAGAGAGGAGGCAGCCCCCUCCACACCAGUGGCCUCGUGGUUAUUAGCAAGGCUGGGUAAUGUGAAGGCCCAAGAGCAGAGUCUGGGCCUCUGACUCUGAGUCCACUGCUCCAUUUAUAACCCCAGCCUGACCUGAGACUGUCGGAGAGGCUGUCUGGGGCCUUUAUCAAAAAAAGACUCAGCCAAGACAAGGAGGUAGAGAGGGGACUGGGGGACUGGGAGUCAGAGCCCUGGCUGGGUUCAGGUCCCACGUCUGGCCAGGCACUGCCUUCUCCUCUCUGGGCCUUUGUUUCCUUGUUGGUCAGAGGAGUGAUUGAACCAGCUCAUCUCCAAGGAUCCUCUCCACUCCAUGUUUGCAAUGCUUUUAUAUGGCCCAGCCUUGUAAAUAACCACAAGGUCCACUCCCUGCUCCACGAAGCCUUAAGCCAUAGGCCCAGGAUAUUUCUGAGAGUGAAACCAUGACUGUGACCACCUUCUGUCCCCAGCCCUGUCCUGGUUCCUUCCUAUGCCCAGGUACCACCCUUCAGACCCCAGUUCUAGGGGAGAAGAGCCCUGGACACCCCUGCUCUACCCAUGAGCCUGCCCGCUGCAAUGCCUAGACUUCCCAACAGCCUUAGCUGCCAGUGCUGGUCACUAACCAACAAGGUUGGCACCCCAGCUACCCCUUCUUUGCAGGGCUAAGGCCCCCAAACAUAGCCCCUGCCCCGGAGGAAGCUUGGGGAACCCAUGAGUUGUCAGCUUUGACUUUAUCUCCUGCUCUUUCUACAUGACUGGGCCUCCCUUGGGCUGGAAGAAUUGGGGAUUCUCUAUUGGAGGUGAGAUCACAGCCUCCAGGGCCCCCCAAAUCCCAGGGAAGGACUUGGAGAGAAUCAUGCUGUUGCAUUUAGAACUUUCUGCUUUGCACAGGAAAGAGUCACACAAUUAAUCAACAUGUAUAUUUUCUCUAUACAUAGAGCUCUAUUUCUCUACGGUUUUAUAAAAGCCUUGGGUUCCAACCAGGCAGUAGAUGUGCUUCUGAACCGCAAGGAGCAAACACUGAAAUAAAAUAGUUUAUUUUUCACACUCAAA